UACGUAGGGGGCAAGCGUUAUCCGGAUUUACUGGGUGUAAAGGGAGCGUAGACGGCGAUGCAAGUCUGAAGUGAAAGCCCGGGGCUCAACCCCGGGACUGCUUUGGAAACUGUAUGGCUGGAGUGCUGGAGAGGCAAGCGGAAUUCCUAGUGUAGCGGUGAAAUGCGUAGAGAUUAGGAAGAACACCAGUGGCGAAGGCGAUUCUCUGGACUGUAACUGACGCUGAGGCUCGAAAGCGUGGGGAGCAAACAGG
rnacentral:rRNA from 1 species